CAUCUCUCUCUUAUCUCCUCUCAUUUCCUUUUCAUUUUUCAUUUUUCUUGAGGCUUUGAUUUUCUCUUCCAUUUUCCGGCUAAUCGGUCGGGUUUCCGGUCUAGGUUCCUUGACGAAAAACGUUCCUCUCAUCGUUCUCUAUCACAUAGUCAAAGAGUUUAUUUUUCAGAGGAUCGGUGAUUAUUUUAUGAAUUUUUGAACAUUUUGGAUCUAAGGCUUCGGAUGGGGUUUUGGGCCACUUAGAGUCGGAUGCCGGUGCUGACCCUUUGGAACAGUAGAAUCUCCUCGUCGACGGCUACGUUUUCACCAAACAGUUUUCCGUUCCGCCGCCGUUGACCGGCGUUGACUUUUGUUGACCUGCGGUUGACCGCGUUGACCGGCGUUGACUUUUUCGGGCGGGGAUGUAUUUUGGCUACUUUUGAGGUCACGGGAAGGAAAUGGCGGACGGCGUUCCUCUACAGGUCUUGAUGGGUGCCAAUAGGCCAAAUACAAGUUUGUGGAAACCAGUAUUACAACAGUAAACAGCACCAUACGAUAGGAAAUGGGUUUAUAAAGGUGGUGAGUCAAGGAAGUGAAGAUGAUUAUGAUUUACAACUGCAGAGAGGCUAUGAAAAUGGAGGACAGUGAAAGAUGGUGCUCAGAACCAAUCCUGCAACAAACAGUUGGAUUCCCAGCGUCAAAGACGACCAGGAUGUUUGUGCCCUUCGAAGCCUAAUAGAAGUGGAAGUUGUUAGAUCAUUCAAGAGAUUGAAGCUUGUAAAUGAGAUGGCGUAAUCGAGAUAAACAGUGUGAAGCUUCUUAUAUCGUUCUAUAAUACCCAACAUAUGCCCAGUUAAAUACCAAAAGAUGCGGUGAUAGAUGCAUAAACAGAAAGGAAGGAACAUAGAGAGAGAGAGAGAGAGAGAGAGAGAGAAUAAGGUCACAUGUUAGGGUUUUUGGGUUUAUAAGAAUGGGGAGAGUCGUUAGGGACAUUCCCAGGUUUUCAAAAAAAGAGGACAGCAAGUGAUAGUCAAGUUUUCUGUCUAAUGGCUAGUCCGUAAUGACAAAUUGACAGGGGUGUCAAGUGAAAAUUGGUCAAUAGUACACGGGGGAGAUACGUAAAAUGUACAGGGGGUGAUAUGCAAAGAUUUUACCGUCCAGGGUUUUCUUUUUUGCAAUUAAGCCAA